rnacentral:lncRNA from 1 species
AAAAAAGCCACCUUUGGGAGCAGCGGAGCUUCUCAGCUGGCCAGGUGGGAGGGACCAUAAGGUAGUUAAGGGGUCAAAGUCAGGAUUUCACAGGAGAGCAGAGUCAAGAGUCUGCGAAAUUAACCAACGUGGCCCUAAAUCGGCUGAGGGAAUGCCUACCACAGCAUGGCUUGCCAAGCAGUGCCAUGUCCGCACCCAGGAUCCGAACCGGUGAACCCCGGGCCGCCAAGAAGCGGAACGUGCCAACUUAACCGCUGAGCCACCGGGCUGGUCCCAGAAUUUUGUUCUUAUAGUUAGUGAGGAUAGAAGUUGGC